rnacentral:rRNA from 1 species
AAUCAACGCUGGCGGCGUGCCUAACACAUGCAAGUCGAACGCGAAAGUCCCUUCGGGGAUGAGUAGAGUGGCGUCCGGGUGAGUAACGCGUGGGUAAUCUACCCUUGGGUGGGAAGUAACCAGUCGAAAGAUUGGCUAAUACCGCAUAAUGCAGCGGCUCGACAUCGAGACAGUUGUUAAAGCGCAAUCGCAAGAUUGCGCGCCUAAGGAGGAGCCUGCGUCUGAUUAGCUUGUUGGUGAGGUAAUGGCUCACCAAGGCUGCGAUCAGUAGCUGGUCUGAGAGGACGGCCAGCCACAAUGGCACUGAAACACGGG